rnacentral:lncRNA from 1 species
ACGAACAAAACGCCGCUAUUCGGAUAUAACGAUGGAUUAUUUUGGACCAAACCAACAUUUGUUAUUGAAGUAGCAGUCCUGGGAGUGCAUUCUGACGAAGACAACAAAAGGACGUGCAGACUGGCAGUCCCCAUGUUGAAAGGACAAAGACCACCUACAGAACUAAGCCAACAUCAGCAAGAACCUAAUGCAAUUGGCAUCGAAUUUCAAUGUGAAGGUGACGACCUACACGCCAGGAGGAUGAAUUUCAACUAUACCAGCCAGAAUAUAGCAUGAGCUUAAAAGUAUGGCAACUUGGUAUGAACUUUGAACUCUUAUUGACUCCAGAAGUGAUACCUCCUAGCCGUUGAGUUAGCAGCAGUCGUGCUAAACGUGGGCUAGGAGAGGACUGACAGAGUAUCCAUUCUACCACGCUCCAGGUCACCACUAGACAGUCUUCAGAGGACCAGAGAUCCAUGCUGGACAACCUGGCCUCCCAUCUACGACCAACCGAUCGAAGUGCAGCUCAGAGACCUGAGCCCUAGGACCAUGCCUCAGGACUACCUGGCAUGAUGACUCCUUGCUGUCCCCAGUCCACCUGGCCAUGCUGCUGCUCCAGUUUCAACUGUUCUGCCUGCGGCUAUGGAACCCUGACCUGUUCACCGGACGUGCUUGUUGCACCCUCGACAACUACUAUGAUUAUUAUUAUUUGACCAUGCUGGUCAUUUAUGAACAUUUUAACAUUUUGACCAUGUUCUGUUAUAAUAUCCACCCGGCACAGCCAGAAGAGGACUGGCCACCCCUCAUAGCCUGGUUCCUCUCUAGGUUUCUUCCUAGGUUUUUGGCCUUUCUAGGGAGUUUUUCCUAGGGAGUUUUUCCUAGCCACCGUGCUUCUUUCACAUGCAUUGCUUGCUGUUUGGGGUUUUAGGCUGGGUUUCUGUACAGCACUUUGAGAUAUCAGCUGAUGUAUGUAGGGCUAUAUAAAUACAUUUGAUUUGAUUUGAUUUAAGUUUGGGGUUGUUUUUCAGGGUUUUUUUUGUUUGAGGUGCAUUUCGGGGUCUGCACCUUUGGGGGGGGGGGGGGGGUACUGUCACGUCCUUACCAGUAAAAGGGGUUAUUUCUUAUUGUAGUUUGGUCAGGGCGUGGCAGGGGGUGUUUUUCUGUGUGUUUUCGGGUUAUGAUCUAUGUUCUUCUAUUUCUAUGUUUAUUCUAGGGUAUCUAUUUCUAUGUUGGAAUUGUUUGGGGUUGGUCUCUAAUUGGAGGCAGCUGAAUCUCGUUGCCUCUGAUUAGAGACCAUAUUUAAGUAGUUUUUUUUUUCAUUGUGUUUGUGGGUGGUUACAUUUCUGUUUAGUUGUCUAACCUGACAGAACUGUGGGCUGUCGUUUUUGUUUCUUUGUUUAUAGUGUUCUCUGUUUAAUAAAUACAAGAUGAGCACUAACCACGCUGCGCCGUGGUCUACUCCCUUCAACAGCCAUUACACAAGUUCCCUUCAGUGUAAUAUGAUAAGGGGUAAAACCUAAUGAUCCUGGGUGUUGUAAGGCAUAAAAGGUAGAUAGUGGCUCUGACUGAAAUGAAACUGAAAUAUCUGUUGUUUGACACCACUGAGGGAUGAUCUGAAAUGGGAGUAAACAGUGCUAGAUAGACAAGGUUCACCACACUGUAAUAGCAAGCUGGCUAUUCCUUUUGUGUCAAUCUUUAAUAAUAUUGGUUGUUGACUGUUUCUUAAAAAAAAUUAAGUCUAUUUGUUCUGUCAAAUCCAUUAGACUUUCGCUCAUAACGUUCUUUGUUUGAGAAUUGAUCCCAUUUCUUCUUGGUCAAAAUGUUCUCCAGUCAAGAGACCGGCUGGCCAAAGGGUCAUGCUCUCUGUGGAUUAUCUCAUUUCAAGACAAGUAUAUCCACACAGAAAGAGGAAAUGACAAGCCCUGCUAUAUUUCAGCUGCAUUUUGGUCGAUUCAACACGGCGAUUUCUGUGACAGAAUCUCCCACCACAAAAGGACCAAGCAGCGGAGAAGGGAGCGAUGGGAAUAUGAUAUGGACUGUCGGGAAAAGGAGACAUGGGCAGAGUUGAGGAUAGGCAUUUCCAGGGCUGUGGAGGAUUUAAGGGAGCCCGAGAGGCAGCCCCAAGAUUUUUUUUUUGGGGGGGGCACACGGGUAGUUUGGCUGGGCGAGGAGUGAGCCCCAGGCCAAAUCCCCGUACCUUUUUUGGGCAACCAGUGACUGGACAGGUCCGUGCUUCGGGGUAAUGGGUACUGUGGCGAGGCCAAGUAUUUUUAGGCCAGUACGAGCAGUACCAGCGCCCCGCAUUUGCCAGGGGGAAGUGGGCAUCCAGCCAGUAAGAGCGAUGCCAGUUCUGCGCUCAAGACCGCCAGUACGCCUCUACGGUCCAGUGCGUCAGCCUAGUCUGACUCGUCCUUUUCCCGCUCCCCGCACUAGCCCUGAGGUGCGUGUUUCCAGGCUGAUACCUCCAGUACCAGCACCACGCAUCAGGCUUCCAGUGCGUCAACCCAGUCCGACUCGGCCUGGUCCCGCUCCCCGCACUAGCCCUGAGGUGCGUGUUCCCAGGCUGAUACCUCCAGUACCAGCACCACGCAUCAGGCUUCCAGUGCGUCAACCCAGUCCGACUCGGCCUGUUCCCGCUCCCCGCACUAGCCCUGAGGUGCGUGUCCCCAGACUGGCACAUCCAGUACCAGUACCACGGAUCAGGCUUCCAGUGCGUCAGCCCAGCCUCGAGAGUUCGGCACCAGUGUGCAGUCCAGAGUAUCCGGCACCAGUGUGCAGUCCAGAGUAUCCGGCACCAGUGUGCAGUCCAGAG